CAGUAGCCGCGGGAAUACAGAGGGUGCGAGCGUUAAUCGGAUUUACUGGGCGUAAAGCGUGCGUAGGCGGCUAAUUGAGUCGGAUGUGAAAUCCCCGAGCUUAACUUGGGAAUUGCAUUCGAUACUGGCUAGCUAGAGUGUGGGAGAGGAUGGUAGAAUUCCAGGUGUAGCGGUGAAAUGCGUAGAGAUCUGGAGGAAUACCGAUGGCGAAGGCAGCCAUCUGGCCUAACACUGACGCUGAGGUACGAAAGCAUGGGGAGCAAACAGGAUUAGAUACCCCCGUAGUCCCUGUCUCUUAUAC
rnacentral:rRNA from 1 species